AAUAAAAAAGAACAUAAAUGUCACUUAUGUGAUUAUGCAGCCAAUCAGAAUCAUGAACUCAAAAAGCAUAUAGAUUCUGUCCAUUUGAAUAAAAAGAACAUAAAACUUAUGUGAGUUUGCAGCCAAACAGAAAUAUGACCUCAAAAGCCAUAUAGAUUCUAUCCAUUUGGACAUAAAAGAUUUUAAAUGCCACUUAUGUGAGUAUGCUGCAAGCAAGAAAAUAACCCUUCAAGAUCAUAUAGAUUCUGUCCAUUUGAAUAAAAGAGAAGACAAAUGUCACUUAUAAAAAAGAGCCAAAAACUUUUUUGAGAAAUAGACUGAGGAAAUAGUAAGUGUUUUUAGGAUACCAGUGUUGCUAUUCGGUGGGUUUUAUUGAGGCAAUAGAUGUCGGGUCGGUUUGAAAGAUGGAUUUCUUCAAAUAUGGUUAUCAUAAGUUACUCACAGAGACCCUAGGCUCUGAGGCAUAUUGCUUUCACAGGCUAAUACAAUUCUAUUGAGAAUGCUUUAAUGUGAUGAAAUAGGUUGUGAUGUUGAUUAGUUAUGAAUCAAGGAAUGUUUUGAAUCUGGGUUUUAUUAUGUGAAUUAACAUUUCCAUUUCAACUCUUCAAGAGAGCAAUCCUACAAAUAUUUUGUUUUUAUUCUGAUGAACUGUUGGAAUUAUA